AACGAACGCUGGCGGCGUGGAUAAGACAUGCAAGUCGAGCGCGACGACCGCUGUAGCAAUACAGUGGAAGUUGAGCGGCGCAAGGGUGCGUAACACGUGGGUAAUUUACCGUAAAGUCGG
rnacentral:rRNA from 1 species